GUGCUUACCUUGGCAGCACAUAUACUAAAUUGGAUACCAAGAAAAUUAAAAUGGCCCCUUGCUCAAAGAUGACAUGCAAAUUCAUGAAGUGUUACAGAUUAUA
ensembl:snRNA U6 U6 spliceosomal RNA